rnacentral:misc_RNA from 1 species
GAUGAAGAACGCAGUGAAAUGCGACAAGUAAUGUGAAUUGCAGAAUUCCGUGAAUCAUCGAAUCUUUGAACGCACAUUGCGCCCCCUGGUAUUCCGGGGGGCAUGCCUGUCCGAGCGUCAUUGCUGCCCUCAAGCACGGCUUGUGUGUUGGGCCUCCGUCCUCCUCCCGGGGGACGGGCCCGAAAGGCAGCGGCGGCACCGCGUCCGGUCCUCGAGCGUAUGGGGCUUCGUCACCCGCUCUUGUAGGCCCGGCCGGCGCUUGCCGACACAUCAAUCUUUUUUCCAGGUUGACCUCGGAUCAGGUAGGGAUACCCGCUGAACUUAAGCAUAUCAAUAAGCGGAGGA